rnacentral:lncRNA from 1 species
UUCCUGAAGAGAUUAUAGCUUCCAGAAUAGACUCUGAAUCACUAUCAAGGUCAUCAUCUUCGUCUUCAAGAGAGAGUGGUUCAUUUAUUCUCUGAGGUUCCACAGUGCAUUCACUCUCGUCAAAUGUGCCCUAUGGACAGAAAGGUCUGACAUAACGUAAAGUAAAAAGUUUCUAUGGAAAAUACAGAUAUUCUAUCAACAAAACAAUUAUAACCUCCAAAUACACACAGAUAACAAUGGAAAUAAAAGUCUUAAGCACACUUCAGUAUAAAAUACAUUCCAAGAUAUAUGAUUAAAAACGAGACUUAUGUAUAUCUCACAAUACAAUGAACUUAUUUUUCGAUAAUUAUGUUUGAAAGUAAAAAUCAAAUAAGUAUUAUUUGAUAUACUUGCAGGAUUA